AUGGCAACGAAAGGAAGCCAGGCGUCGGGGUACCGCAACAAUUCGGGUGCCUGCGGCAUGACAGCAUUGCAGAAGCAUGCAGCGUUCUUCGACGGCGACAAGGACGCGGUUUUUUUCCAUUCAAUUUUUUUGGUUCCAUGUUAUCUGUAUCUUGGUGAAUGUACAACGCUAAUGUUCAGUUCAUUGUCUCAGUGUUUUUUGGCGGAGGUGUGUUCUUGUCUUGCGAGGUUCAUCCACCGUCGACGACACCUGCAACUCGUUUGGUAUAUUUGGUUAAUCAUAACCAGCAAAGAGGAGGAGUCGCAUACGUGCCUGGUAUUCUUUGUGUUGUAUGAAGUGUUCCUUCAACUAAUCAAGCAAUCUGACAUUAGUACUUUGUUUGAGCCACCGCCGAACGCUCAGCGAUGGGUUGAGUUGGUUGAGGUGUAG
rnacentral:rRNA from 1 species